rnacentral:rRNA from 1 species
GACGAACGCUGGCGGCGUGCUUAACACAUGCAAGUCGAACGGAAAGGCCUGCUUUCCCUUGUGUAUUGCGGGUACUCGCGUGGCGAACGGGUGAGUAACACGUGAGUGAUCUUCCCCCAACUUGGGUAUAAGCCUGGGAAACUGGGUCUAAUUCCCGAUAGGACUGCAGGGUGGUGCCUUUGUUGGAACACUAUUUUCUAGUGGUUGGGGAUGAGCUCGCGGCCUAUCAGCUUGUUGGUGGGGUAAUGUCCUACCAAGGCGGCGACGGGUAGCCGGCCUGAGAGGGUGGACGGGGGAAUGGGGACUGGGAUACGGCCCAGAGUCGUACGGGAGGAAGGAGUGGGGAAAAUUAGACGAUGGGCGGAAGCCUGAAGGAGCGAGGACGGGUGGGGGAUGACGGGCUUCGGGUUGUAAACUCCUUUCGAAAGAGAGGAAGACACCUGGAUGGAAGGGUGGUGACGGUAGUGGAAGAAGAAGCACCGGCUAACUACGUG